rnacentral:rRNA from 1 species
UACGGGGGGUGCGAGCGUUGUUCGGAAUUACUGGGCGUAAAGGGCGCGUAGGCGGCCGCCUAAGUCAGACGUGAAAUCCCUCGGCUCAACCGGGGAACUGCGUCUGAUACUGGGUGGCUUGAAUCCGGGAGAGGGAUGCGGAAUUCCAGGUGUAGCGGUGAAAUGCGUAGAUAUCAAGAGGAACACCUGCGGCGAAGGCGGGUUGCUGGGCCGACACUGACGCUGAGGCGCGAAAGCUAGGGGAGCGAACGGG